AGAACAUCCAAAUCCGCCGGAAAAAUGAAUUCCCGUUUCACAUCUCUCGUUUCCCGAUCACUUAAAUCCAAUCGCCACCACUAUCUUUUACCUCAAUUAUUCUCUUCUUCCACCGCUACACCGGCAUCUCCACCUCAAUACCCUCAAACCCUAGAGGGAUUACGCCACCGGUUAGCGGCGGAGUCACCGACGUUAUCCGAUUUCACUAGGCUCCAAUCGGAUAAUGAGUAUUCGGUUGAGGUAGGGACGAAGAAGAAGCCGCUUCCUAAACCGAAAUGGAUGAAGGAAGCUAUACCUGGAGGAGAGAAAUACACACAGAUCAAGAAGAAAUUGAGGGAAUUGAAGCUUCAUACUGUUUGUGAAGAGGCUAAAUGCCCUAAUUUGGGAGAGUGUUGGUCCGGUGGUGAAACUGGUACAGCUACCGCUACCAUCAUGAUUCUAGGUGAUACUUGUACCAGAGGUUGCAGAUUCUGCAAUGUGAAGACAUCACGCACUCCACCUCCUCCUGACCCAAAUGAACCUGCCAAUGUGGCUGAGGCCAUUGCUUCAUGGGGAUUAGAUUACAUUGUGAUCACUAGUGUUGACCGUGAUGAUUUACCUGAUCAAGGAAGUGGUCAUUUCACUGAGACAGUGCAGAAGUUGAAGGCAUUGACGCCACAUAUACUCAUAGAAGCACUGACUCCAGAUUUUCGAGGUGAUCCUGGGUGUGUAGAGAAAGUUGCAAAAUCUGGAUUAGAUGUUUUUGCUCAUAACAUUGAAACCGUUGAAGAGCUUCAGAGUGUAGUACGAGAUCAUCGUGCUAACUUCAAGCAGUCCAUGGACGUUCUGAAGAUGGCCAAGGAGUAUGCCCCUGCUGGGACAUUGACAAAGACUUCAAUAAUGUUGGGCUGUGGGGAAACCCCCGAACAAGUUGUUAGAACAAUGGAAAAAGUGCGUGCGGCGGGUGUUGAUGUAAUGACAUUUGGCCAGUACAUGAGACCAUCAAAGCGUCACAUGCCUGUUACUGAAUACAUAACCCCCGAAGCCUUUGAGAAUUAUCAAGUUCUUGGCACACAAAUGGGAUUUCGAUAUGUAGCUUCUGGCCCCAUGGUUAGGUCAUCCUACAAGGCAGGGGAAUUCUAUAUUAAAUCCAUGAUAGAAUCUGAUCGUGCAGCAUCGUCGUCUUAGCUUCUGGUUUUGAGAUAAUUUUGUACCACAAACAUGAUGUUCACACAACAUUUUUUGAGAUUGAAAAGCUUAGUUAGCCAUCUGACUCUUGUUUUCUGUUGGCCAUGUUUCCUCUUAAAGAGGAAAAAGAAAAGGUGGUGUAGGUAUUCAAAAGUGUGAUGGGCUAUAAUAUUUUCUUCCUUAUUGUAAGCUGUUGUUAUAUCUAAUAAUCUCAUGCAGUUGUACAUUAACUUAAUGUAAUUAUUCUUUCAAUAUUG
rnacentral:misc_RNA from 1 species